ensembl:ncRNA C31H2.7 ncRNA
GAAAGGUCAUUCGGGAAUGACCGCAAUCUGAGUUUGUCCCCCUCACCCCGAUCGUUAUCAUAUGCAUAACCCCCAGUGUCCGGUCUUUAGCGUUCCGUCCUUCUUUCUAUACCAUUUACCU